GUUUGACCUCGGAUCAGGUAGGGAUACCCGCUGAACU
rnacentral:rRNA from 2 species